AGGCAUCAUUAAGUUCUAAGUAACACCAACUUUACACCCUUUUUUUCUGUUCCAAUUCUGAUAAUAUGACCAAGUACAAUUUGAGGUUGAUGUUUACAUGCAAGCAAGGGGGCAAAAAAAGGUUCUCCAAGCAAGAGACUGAGAAUAUCCAUGGAUGGAUAUUACCUGCAAAAAUUCCCCACAAUUAUCUUCUUUGUUGAAUGCAUCUUCAGCAAACGGGAUAAUUGACGAUAACCCCCUUGUUGGCAAAUCCUUCAUCAUAUGCCCCCUACCGCUGUCUUUGAGAAUAUCCGUGGAUGGAUAUUACCUGCAAAAAUUCCCCACAAUUAUCUUCUUUGUUGAAUGAGACUUGUCUGCUGAUUCACACGUACAUGAAACCUACAGUUGGUCCUCUAAUUCGUUUGAUGAAGUUAGAAUUCUUUUUGAAUGCAUAAAAUCUGUUGGGACUGCUUCUUAUCAGAAAAUUGUUAGCUGGAGUUGAAGCAUACAAAAGUAGAAAAGAAUGUAAGUACAUAUAUGUUCAGUAAACGCAGGUGAGUACCUAACAUAUUUAUGGGAAUCCAAGGUUUUAUGUCUGUUCAUCAAGAAGAUAUGCAUGGACAGAUAUAUUGAUGAAUGGAAGCACUGGCAAUAGCAGAAGGAUUGCUGAAAAGAAACAUUAUUGAUUCAAUAUCCAGUCAAAGCUUUUUUAUCACCAAACAGGGACAACCAAAGUGCUAGUCUGGUACUAACUUCCAUCCACCCCACCGCAUGAAUAACUUCAACAUUGCACGACAACGAACGACGGGAGUGUGUAGUCAAGAAAAAAGCAGGCAAAACAACAAACAUGUGUCCGACUGAAAAUGCAACUUUAACUAUCCGACUGAAACCACAAACAGUUAACCCAGCAGUCACUUGCUGUUGCAAGACAAUGCGACUUUAACUAUCUGACUGAAACCACAAGCUACAGGCCUGAAGAAGAGAUGGCACAAAUCCUCAACUUAACUAACUGGCCACUUCUAUUGCUGGAAAAACAUCUCUCUCCGAGUCUCUGUAGCACAGUACCAUCAGGUGACACCAGCCAGCAGCCAACAAACCAGAUUUGUUCUGUAAAAAUUAGAUCCCAGAUGAAUCCCCGAAUCAAAGCAGGGCAGCACCGCACCAGCAGAUUACAACCUGAUCAUAGAACAUGAAGCAAAACAUAAUUGUGGAAGACUGAAGAUUAUGUGGGCUUAUUGAUUCCAGCCUGGAGAUUAUAAUCCGCAAAAAUAGGGCAGUAUUAAGAUGUAGAUUUCUAGAGUUGUUAUACU
rnacentral:lncRNA from 1 species